AUACGGAGGGUGCAAGCGUUACUCGGAAUCACUGGGCGUAAAGCGCGCGCAGGCGGCUAUUUAAGUUGGAUGUGAAAGCCUACGGCUCAACCGUAGAACUGCAUCCAAAACUAUUUAGCUAGAGUGUGGGAGAGGAAGAUGGAAUUAGUUGUGUAGGGGUAAAAUUCGUAGAGAUAACUAGGAAUACCAAAAGCGAAGGCAAUCUUCUGGAACACUACUGACGCUGAGGCGCGAAAGCGUGGGGAGCAAACAGGAUUAGAUACCCUAGUAGUCC
rnacentral:rRNA from 1 species